AUGGCGAGCGUGACAAGUUUCAGAAUGAGAUUUGUGCUGAACUGCUGCUGGGACUGAGCACGUAUAGGAAGACUACAACCCGAGCCAGAAGCUUUCUGCAGCGGAUCCUUGACCUGAGUGAGUUGAGGAGCCAGUAACUGAUCAUUUGUGACAACAGCCUGGAGGGAGGUCUGCGAGUCCUGAUGACCACCGUGCUCCCGACUCGUGUAGCAUCGGUCUUCGCGCCUCACUGGUUUUAAAAAACAAGGCAAUAAAAUCACCACUUGAA